rnacentral:rRNA from 2 species
AUCUUCGGACCUUGCGCUAAUAGAUGAGCCUAAGUCGGAUUAGCUAGUUGGUGGGGUAAAGGCCUACCAAGGCGACGAUCUGUAGCGGGUCUGAGAGGAUGAUCCGCCACACUGGGACUGAGACACGGCCCAGACUCCUACGGGAGGCAGCAGUGGGGAAUAUUGGACAAUGGGGGGAACCCUGAUCCAGCCAUGCCGCGUGUGUGAAGAAGGCCUUUUGGUUGUAAAGCACUUUAAGCGAGGAGGAGGCUACUCUNGUUAAUACCUAGGNAUANUGGACGUUACUCGCAGAAUAAGCACCGGCUAACUCUG